UUGCCUAAGGGCUAGUUUUACCUUAGGCAAACCUCUGUCUCUUGUAGCA
rnacentral:ncRNA from 1 species